UGGUUCCUGGUAACUCUGGCACCUGGGUCCUACACCCUCCAGUCUCUGGUUCCUGGUAACUUUGGCCCAUGGGUCCUAAACCUUCCAGACUCUUGUUUCUCUACUUCCUAUGUUCUGACACCAGCAAUAAAGAACCAAUAAAGGCCAUGCCGAACAAACCGGCAAGCGUGUGACAUACCCCUCAUACUGUUGUCAUGGGCACCUUUAGUUAUUCCACACUGAGUCCAAUACUGUCCCAUGACUCACUGACUCACUUAGCUAUACCACACUGAGGCCAGUCCUGUCUCCUGACUCACUUAGCUAAACCACCCUGAGGCCAGUCCUGUCCCCUGACUCACUGACUCACUUAGCUAUACCACAAUGAGGCCAGUCCUGUCCCCUGACUCACUGACUCACUUAGCUAAACCACGCUGAGGCCAGUCCUGUCCCCUGACUCACUGACUCACUUAGAUAAACCACGCUGAGGCCAGUCCUGUCCCCUGACUCACUUAGCUAAACCACGCUGAGGCCAGUCCUGUCGCCUGACUCACUGACUCACUUAGCUAUACCACACUGAGGCCAGUCCUGUCUCCUGACUCACUUAGCUAUACCACACUGAGACCAGUCCUGUCUCCUGACUCACUGACUCACUUAGCUAUACCACACUGAGGCUAGUCCUGUCUCCUGACUCACUUAGCUAUACCACACUGAGGCCAGUCCUGUCUCCUGACUCACUUAGCUAUACCACACUGAGACCAGUCCUGUCUCCUGACUCACUGACUCACUUAGCUAUACCACACUGAGGCCAGUCCUGUCUCCUGACUCACUUAGCUAAACCACACUGAGGCCAAUCCUGUCUCCUGACUCACUUAGCUAUACCACACUGAGGCCAAUCCUGUCCCCUGACUCACUUAGCUAUACCACACUGAGACCAGUCCUGUCUCCUGACUCACUGACUCACUUAGCUAUACCACACUGAGACCAGUCCUGUCUCCUGACUCACUGACUCACUUAGCUAUACCACACUGAGGCCAGUCCUGUCUCCUGACUCACUUAGCUAAACCACCCUGAGGCCAGUCCUGUCUCCUGACUCACUGACUCACUUAGCUAUACCACACUGAGGCCAGUCCUGUCUCCUGACUCACUUAGCUAAACCACCCUGAGGCCAGUCCUGUCUCCUGACUCACUGACUCACUUAGCUAUACCACACUGAGGCCAGUCCUGUCUCCUGACUCACUUAGCUAUACCACCCUGAGGCCAAUCCUGUCUCCUGACUCACUUAGCUAUACCACACUGAGGCCAAUCCUGUCCCCUGACUCACUGACUCACUUAGCUAAACCACGCUGAGGCCAGUCCU
rnacentral:lncRNA from 1 species